UUGCCAUAGUACUCUUGAGGUGGAAUGCUUACACUUUCGUUUAUACAUUAAAUAUAUAUCUAAUGUAUGACAUUCAUCAUUGUCUGCUUGGACUAUUAGGGUAUCUAAUCCUGUUUGCUACCCAAGCCUUCGUCUCUCAACGUCAGUUAUUACAUAGAAGGACGCCUUCGCCGUUGACAGUCCUCCUGGUAUCAUCAAAUUUUAUCUCUACUCCAGAAAUUCUUCCUUCUCUCAUAUAACUCUAGUAAAAAAGUACUCGUUUAGAGUUUAAUUUACCGUCUACUUACCCUUUAAACCCAAUAAAGAUAACUAACACUAGCCUCCU
rnacentral:rRNA from 1 species